UGUCAGAUUAGCUAGUUGGUGAGGUAAAGGCUCACCAAGGCGACGAUCUGUAGCGGGUCUGAGAGGAUGAUCCGCCACACUGGGACUGAGACACGGCCCAGACUCCUACGGGAGGCAGCAGCUAAGAAUAUUCCGCAAUGGACGAAAGUCUGACGGAGCGACGCCGCGUGGAUGAUGAAGGCCGAAAGGUUGUAAAGUCCUUUUGCUGGGGAAGAAUAAGCGUGGGAGGGAAUGCCCGCGUGAUGACAUGAACCGGCGAAUAAGCCCCGGCUAACUACGUGCCAGCAGCCGCGGUAACACGUAGGGGGCGAGCGUUGUUCGGAAUUACUGGGCGUAAAGGGCAUGUAGGCGGCUUUGUAAGCUUGGCGUGAAAUUCCACGGCUUAACCGUGGGAAUGCGUUGAGAACUGCGAGGCUUGAGUGACGGAGAGGGAGCUAGAAUU
rnacentral:rRNA from 1 species